rnacentral:lncRNA from 1 species
AAAAGCAAGCUGUCUUAGUUAGGGUUUUAUUGCUGUGAAGAGACAGCAUGACCAUGGGAACUCUUAUAAAGGAAACCAUUUAAUUGGGGCUGGCUUACAGUUUCAGAGGCUUAAUCCAUCAUCAGCAUGGUGGGAAGCACGGUGCCAUGCAGAGAACUCAUGGUGCUUGAGAGGUAGCUGCGAGUUUUACAUCUGGAUCCACAGGCAACGGGAAGAGGCAGUGAGUCACUAGGCCUGGCUUGAGCUUCUAAAACUUUAAAGUCUACUCCACCAGUGACACUGUUCCUCCAACAAGGUCACAUCCUCAGUAAUGCUACUCCUUAUAAGUCUAUGGGGACCAUUUUCAUUCAUAUCACCUCAUUCUACUCCCUGGUCCUUAAAGGCCUGCAGCUGUAUCAAAAUGCAAAAUGCAUUUAGUUCAACUUCAGAAGUUCCCAUAGACUGUCAUGGUCUCGACAGUAUUUAAAACUCCCAAGUUCUAAGUUUCUGAUCCUCAAAACAAUCUCUUAACUAUAACACCCUGUAAAGUGAAAAUGACAAAAGCAGAUGACAUACUUCUAACAUACAAUGACACAGAAUAUGCAUUACCAUUCCAAAAGGGAGGAAUGGGAGCACAAUGAUGAAAUAUGGGACCAAAACAAGACCAAAAAAACCAGCUGGGCAAACUCUAAACCUCUGCAUCUCCAUGUCUGAUAUCAAAGUGUUCAGAUCUUCCAGCUUUGUCGACUGCAACACAACUCUUUCUCUUGGGCUAGUUCCACUCCCCCUUAGAAGCUUUCCUCAGCAGGUAUCCCACGGCUCUGGCAUCUCCAAGGCUAUCCAGGCUUUAUCUUCAAAGCUUCACCCAGUGGCCUUUCUAGGUCUCCAUGCAGGGGCAUCCCUGACACACACCAGGUCUCAGUAGUUUUCCUAAGGAAGAGACAUGGAGGGAGAUUUCAUAGCCCCUUUCUUAUGUCUUUGACUAUAAAGCCAGAACCAGAACCAUGAGGAUGAAGCUGCCAAAUUCUGCUGCUUGCUGGGGCUGGAACAGGGUGCCCUUGUUCAAAUACAUUUUUACCAGCUUUAUGCUUUGGUUGGUUUCCUUCACUGCCUAAGCUUCGUUGUCCUAGAACUUGGUCUGUAGACCAAGCUGGCCUUGAACUCUGAGAUCCAGAAGUCUCUGCCUUCUGAGCAGUGGAAUUAAAGAUAUGCACCACUAUACCUGGCCCUAAGCUUUUCUUUAAUUCCUUUUCACUUUUCUUUAACUCAUUUUCACAAGUUGGAAGCUUAGCUGGGUGGGGGUCUCGCUCUGAGGGCACCACUCCCUUUAUUCCACUUAGCAUCAGGCUUUUCUUUGACCUGUUUUCACUUCCUAAAGCUCCUUUUCUCCUGCAACAAUAGAUUUUGCAUUUUUCCUUGACCAGCUUGCUCCUUUUCAUUGCAGAUCUGCAUAAGACUGGCUACCAAUAGCUACACACUAGGUUCUUUGGAAAUUUUGUCUGUCAAAGUUUAGUCUCAGCCAGAUGGUUUGGUCAAGGGCAGAAGAAACUGCAUUCUUCACCAAAAUAUUGCAAGAACAUAUAGGCCACAUAUUAAUAUUAUUCUCCUCUGAAACCUCUUGAGUUGAGGCACCACAGUUCAAAUCACCUUCAGCACCACUGUCUUCCAUAAUCCUACUAUGCCCCAUUAAGCUCCACUUAAAAUGUUCAACUGCCUUUCUAAUCCAAAAUUCCACAGUCCAAAUUCCUCUAAACAAAAACAUGGUCUGGCCUAUCACAGCAAUACAGCACUCCUGGUACCAACUUCUGUCUUAGUUAUGGUUUUAUUGCCGUGAUGAGACAUCAAGACCAAGGCAACUCUUACAAAGGAAAACAUUUAAUUGGGCUUAGAGUUCAGAGGUUUAGUUCAUUAUCAUUAUGCCAGGAAGAACUGUGGCCCAUAGACAAACAUAAUGCUGGAGAAGGAGCUGAGAGUUUUAUAUCUACAUCUGCAGGCAGCAGGAAGAGGCAAUGAGCAUCUAGGCUGGUUUAAGCUUAUGAAGCCUCAAAAGCUACCCCUGACCCCUAGUGACACAUUUCCUCCAACCCCACCACCACCCCAACAGACCAUACCUCCACUAAUGCCAAUCCCUAAGAGCUGAAGGAACCAUUCUCAUUCAGACCACCACACAAGCUAUCAUAAUAAAUGGUUGUAAAUAAUUAUAUGUCUGUGAAUUGGGUAUAACCUGGAAGAUAAUAAACUCUCGGACAGACUGAUUUAUUAAGAAAGAGAAAGAAGUCUCAACCAUAUCAUUAACAGUAAAAGAGCAACAGGAUAAACCAUGACCUUUUCUGUAACCGUAGAAGUGUUUGACAAAACUCAACAACCUUAUGGGACAAAAACUAUGAGCAAAUUAUGUGGAGAAAGAGUGGUGAAGUGCAGGCACAUGUGUUGAGCCCAAAACUGAAACUGAAUGGGCAAAAAGUUGAAACAAUUUUCUUUAAGAUCAGGAAGAAAACAAGGAUGCCCACUCUUGCCAUAUCUAUUCAACAAAGCAUUUGAAGUGCUAGGGAGAGCACUGGGCAAGAAAAAUAAAUAAGAGAUAUGCAAACAGGAAAGAAUAUACAAUCUCUCUGUAAAUCCCUAAAUCUGGCAGGAAAUUGUUGGAAUUAAUAAAAAAUGAGAAUGCUACAGUACACAUAUUCAUAUACAAAUUAUGAAUGUUACAGUACACAUAUUCAUAUACAAAUUAUGAAUGUUACAGUACACAUAUUCAUAUACAAAUUAGAUGUAUUCCAACAGAACAGUGAACUAUGUGAAUGAGGAAUGAAGGGCACAAUGUGUGACAACAUACAACACUUAGGAAUAAAAUUGAUCAAGGGGAUGAAGAGCUGUACAUUGAAGACUCUGAAAUGUUGAUGAAAGAAGUUGGAUAAGAUACAAGCAAAUGGUAAUAGACAUUUUGCUUCUGGGUUGGAAGAAUUCUUACUGUUAAAACGCCCAUGUUUCACAGAAUAACCUAUAGACUCCAUAUGAUCUAUAUUAAAAAAAAUCCAGCUAUAGGGGACCCAGUGUCCUUUUCUGACCUCCACAGGCACAGGCAUACACACACACACACACACACACACACACACACACACACACACACACGAAAUAGUCAUCUCAGAGUACUAUUUCCACUCCACACCUCAGUGCAACAUUGUUCACAACAGGCAAAAUAAAGUUUCAAACUAAAUGCCUGUCAUUUUUUUUCUAUCAAUGGC